rnacentral:lncRNA from 1 species
GUGUUCUCCUUAAAACUGAUAUGGCGUCGUGUCUCGAAUGAGCAAUCUCUUUGGAUAGAAUGGACAGUACAUGUCAUCUUGUUAAGCUAGAAGGCUGAGUUCUUAAUCACCUAUGGCUUUAAUUGGGUCUAACCCGAAUAUGACACCCGACCCCAACGUGUACUAUCUACACGAUAAUGGAGUCCAAUUUUGAUAGAGGCCGAACUUGAUCUCAUUUCACCAUUUUCCAACAUGAUAGAAAAACAAAAAAAGUGAAAUAAGAUAUAUCGUCAUUUGUUUAGUUGUUACAAUUAUAUGGUCUCCUUUGUAAAGUACCAAAGGACAGACUGAUCUUUAAAUUCUAUAUAAAGUAAACAUUGAAAAAGGGCCCACAUUUCUCACCCCACCGACGAUUUUUAUUUCUCUUUUUGGACCACCAUCUUUUAUUACACGUACAAAUCUUUUGUCCUUUUGUCAAUCAAUCAAAGAGUGUUGGGUUGUUGAAGAAAAACUAAUAAAAGACUUUGUUUUGUUUCUUCCUUUAAAAAGAGAAAGACUUGUUUCACUGCUCUGACGGUCUAGGAAACUUCCAUUUUUUUUGGACCUUAGCUUCGUAUACCCCGUACCCUCCUAAACUCAAGCUUAUUACCCCAACACUAUUCAUCUCACCUCUUUAUUGUUGCACUUCCUAAAUUAGCAUUUGUCCAUUUAUUCCUCAAUUAAAAACCAACCACAAUUCAACUACCUACAUGGCCCACAUCCUAGCCUUAACCAAUCAAAAUUCUUUGGUCCACAUGUUCUUCUUCUUCCUCGUACUCUCUCCUCCUCU